GACGAACGCUGGCGGCGUGCUUAACACAUGUAAGUCGAACGCUGAAGACCUGGCUUUUGUUGGGUUGGAUGAGUGGCGAACGGGUGAGUAACACGUGAGUAACCUGCCCUCUUCUUUGGGAUAACGCCCGGAAACGGGUGCUAAUACUGGAUAUUCACUGAUCUUCGCAUGGGGGUUGGUGGAAAGGUUUGUUCUGGUGGGGGAUGGGCUCGCGGCCUAUCAGCUUGUUGGUGGGGUGAUGGCCUACCAAGGCUUUGACGGGUAGCCGGCCUGAGAGGGUGACCGGUCACAUUGGGACUGAGAUACGGCCCAGACUCCUACGGGAGGCAGCAGUGGGGAAUAUUGCACAAUGGGCGAAAGCCUGAUGCAGCGACGCCGCGUGAGGGAUGGAGGCCUUCGGGUUGUAAACCUCUUUCGCUCAUGGUCAAGCCGCAACUGUGGGUUGUGGUGAGGGUAGUGGGUAAAGAAGCGCCGGCUAACUACGUG
rnacentral:rRNA from 1 species